ensembl:lncRNA
CUCAUAUCCUCUCUCCUGUUCCUUACAGCACAUGAUUAGUGAAAUUAUGUCAGCUGUCUUCUCACUUUGCCUGGAUUACCUCCUCUAUGGUGAGGGGCUGAUGGUUUUUGUUAUAGACUGAAAAUUUAUGUCCCCAUAGUUAAUAUGAUAAAGCCCUAAUCACCAGUGAGCUAGUGUUUGGAGAUGUGUAAUUAGAUCAUGAGGAUGGGCCCUUUAAUGGAAUUAGUUAGAGAGGUAUGAGAAAAACUAUUUCUUUCCUCCAUGAAGAGAGAUCUCAGUAGGACCCAGCCAUGUCCUGAUCUCAAACUUCAACCUCCCGAACCACAAGAAAUGAAUUUCUGGCCAGGCAUUGUGGCACAUGCCUGUAAUCCCAGCACUGGAGAGGCUGAGGUCGGAGGAUCAUUGAGCCAAGCUGGGCUGCAUAGUGAGUUCAAGGUCAGCCUGAACUACAUAGUGAAACCCUGUCUAAAAAAAAAAAAAAAAUGGAAGAAGAAAUGAAUUUCUGUUGUUUAGUGCAGAUAUUUUGCCUGAGCUGCUCUUCAACUUUCAGGAGAGGCCCAUGGUGAGGCAGAAAGGUGUGGUAGAGGACCAUUGCUCACGGCGGCCAGGAAGCAGAGAGAAGGAAAAGAGCAAGAGAGGAAGGGGAUGGAAACAAGGAAUACCCUCAAAGGUGCACCUCAGUGAUCUGCUUCAUGCUAGCUCACAUGUUGAUGAGCCUACAAGACAUCUGUGAACUGGAGAGCCCUCAUAUCAUCUCAUAGCUUCAAAACAGAGGAGGAACAGUGAAUGGCUUCCUACUCCCUGAAGGCAGGCAGGGGUUGUGUCUCUCCUGUGUGACUUCCUUUAUCCAAAUAGCCCAAAUCCCAAAAUAGAGGUAUAAUAGGGGCUCAGCAGGAUGACAUCCAUAAUUCAAGGCCUGACUAUUGCUGACUGCACAGAAAGUUAGAAGGAAACUGGCCUCUUGCUGGACCUUACUCAGUCCUGAAGCCUGUGGGAGUAAGGAGUAAGGAGUAAGAGUGCUUGUGAUAUCAGGGGAAGAGAUGUAAUUCCCAAACCUACCUGGUAUCUGAAACACGAGUUCGUGUUCUCUAAAAUCGAAGAAUGAAUUCUAGGAACAAUGGGGGUUAAGAGUAGGAAAAAUUUAUUGGGAGAAAGAAAGCUUCUGCCUAAGAGAGACAGAAGAGGGACCAGAAAGUGAGUUGCCUGCCCACCCCACUUUUCAAAGAUGUUUUAUACAGCAAAGCCAUGUGGACAGGCGGGUACAAAGUGGCACAAAACUAUAAGACCCAAUGGAAAUUUACAAGGUGGGCAUGAGGUGGGACAAACCCAUGACCAACCAAUAAGAUUACAAGUACAGUCACCCAGGUAAUAUUGAAUAAAUGGGGAUCAAAUGAAAAGACAAGUCACAUGCAAGGAAUUUCCCAUUUAGAAUAUCAAUCACUGCUUUCUAUCUCUAGGGGAAGUAGUGCUUCUUUUCCUUUUUAUAAUGCUAACCAGUGAAUGUGGCUCAAUUGUUCUCCAUGUUGGUUCCUUGCUAUAUUGUCUCCUGGAGGGCUGGUGCCUUAAGGGAGGCCUUGUCUACCUGCCAAGGAGAUAUCUAAUUAACUUACCUAUCUGCAAUACUUAAGAGCCUCAGCUGCAGAGCAGGUGUCACAAUCCUCCCUUCAUUGGGAAUCCAGAGGUGUCUGGCAAGUCUCUUGGCCACAGGCCUCCCUGGAGCCCAGAGCUCUUUGAAGAAAAGAUUCUGGGAACAAGUGUAAGACCCAGGUGAGACUUAGCACAAGUAACACCAUCUUGUUACAGGCCCUCCAUCUUGUCCCUGUGGGUUUCGGGUUCACUAAAGGACACAGAGUUCCUGGAAUGUACUUGUUUAUCUGUUAAGACACCCUGGAAUGUACCAUUGUUUCUGUGUAAAGAACAUCCUGUUAGAUAAGUAAAGAACAUCUACAAACUCCCCUAACCGUCCCCUAACUGCAAAAAUUCCGCUUCUGUAGUUCUGCUUGCUAAGCACCCCUGCAGCCCCUAUAAAACCUUCCAACCUCCUGAG